CCUACGGGUGGCAGCAGUGAGGAAUAUUGGUCAAUGGGCGAAAGCCUGAACCAGCCAAGUCGCGUGCGGGAUGACGGCCCUACGGGUCGUAAACCGCUUUUGUACGGGAACAACUCGCUCCACGCGUGGACUUCUCCAGGUACCCUGCGGAUAAGGGCCGGGUAAUUCCGUGCCAGGAGCCGCGGUAAUACGGAAGGACCGAGCGUUAUCCGGAUUCAUUGGGCUUAAAGGGAUCGUAGGCGGGCGUUCAAGUCCGCUGUAAAAUCUUGCGGCUCAACCGCGCCCCGCCGUUGAAACUGGUGGCCUGGAGUGGGCAAGAGGCAGGCGGAAUGCGUGGUGUAGCGGUGAAAUGCAUAGAUAUCACGAGGAACCCCGAUUGCGAAGGCAGCCUGCCGGGGUGCGACUGACGCUGAGGCUCGAAGGUGCGGGUAUCGAACAGGAUUAGAUACCCCGGUAGUC
rnacentral:rRNA from 1 species